rnacentral:rRNA from 1 species
UUAGGAAUUUUCGGCAAUGGGCGCAAGCCUGACCGAGCAACGCCGCGUGAGUGAAGAAGGCCUUCGGGUCGUAAAGCUCUGUUGUAUAGGAAGAAAAAGUAGGACGAACUCUUACAUAUUGACAGUACUAUAUCAGAAAGCCACGGCUAACUACGUGCCAGCAGCCGCGGUAAUACGUAGGUGGCGAGCGUUAUCCGGAAUUAUUGGGCGUAAAGAGUGAGCAGACGGUAAAUUAAGUCUAAGGUGAAAGGCAAUUGCUUAACGAUUGUAAGCUUUAGAAACUGAUAUACUAGAGGUAGGUAGAGGUUAAUGGAAUUCCAUAUGUAGCGGUGGAAUGCGUAGAUAUAUGGAGGAACACCAGUGGCGAAGGCGAUUAACUGGGCCUUACCUGACGUUGAGUCACGAAAGCGUGGGGAGCAAAUA